rnacentral:rRNA from 1 species
GUAAGGCCCUUCGGGGGUACACGAGCGGCGAACGGGUGAGUAACACGUGAGCAACCUGCCCCCGACUCCGGGAUAAGCGGUGGAAACGCCGUCUAAUACCGGAUACGACACACCGCCUCAUGGCGGUGUGUGGAAAGUUUUUCGGUCGGGGAUGGGCUCGCGGCCUAUCAGCUUGUUGGUGGGGUGACGGCCUACCAAGGCGAUUACGGGUAGCCGGCCUGAGAGGGCGACCGGCCUCCAUGGGACUGAGUCACGGCCCCGAUUCGAGCUGGAACCAGCUUUUGGGAAUAUUGCGCAAUGGGCGAAAGCCUGACGCAGCGACGCCGCGUGGGGGAUGACGGCCUUCGGGUUGUAAACCUCUUUUACCACCAACGCAGGCUCCCAGUUCUCUGGGGGUUGACGGUAGGUGGGGAAUAAGGACCGGCUAACUACGUGCCAGCAGCCGCGGUAAUACGUAGGGUCCGAGCGUCGUCCGGAAUUAUUGGGCGUAAAGAGCUCGUAGGCGGCGUGUCGCGUCUGCUGUGAAAGACCGGGGCUUAACUCCGGUUCUCCAGUGGAUACGGGCAUGCUAGAGGUAGGUAGGGGAGACUGGAAUUCCUGGUGUAGCGGUUAAAUGCGCAGAUAUCAGGAGGAACACCGGUGGCGAAGGCGGGUCUUUGGGCCUUACCUGACGUUGAGGAGCGAAAGCAUGGGGAGCGAACAGGAUUAGAUACCCUGGUAGUCCAUGCCGUAAACGUUGGGCGCUAGGUGUGGGGACUUUCCACGGUUUCCGCGCCGCAGCUAACGCAUUAAGCGCCCCGCCUGGGGAGUACGGCCGCAAGGCUAAAACUCAAAGGAAUUGACGGGGGCCCGCACAAGCGGCGGAGCAUGUUGCCUAAUUCGACGCUACUCGAAGAACCUUCCCAAUG